rnacentral:rRNA from 1 species
AGGACGAACGCUGGCGGCGUGCCUAACACAUGCAAGUGGAGCGACGAACCAGGCUUCGGCCUGGGGCAAAGCCGCGAACGGGUGAGUAACACGUGGGUAACCUGCCCCGAUGAUUGGGACAACCCGAGGAAACUCGGGCUAAUACCGAAUGUGCCCUACGGCCAUAAGGCCGCUGGGGAAAGGAAGCUUCGGCCUCCGCAUCGGGAUGGGCCCGCGGCCCAUUAGCUUGUUGGUGAGGUAACGGCUCACCAAGGCGACGAUGGGUAGCUGGUCUGAGAGGACGAUCAGCCACACUGGGACUGAGACACGGCCCAGACUCCUACGGGAGGCAGCAGUGGGGAAUAUUGGACAAUGGGCGCAAGCCUGAUCCAGCAAUGCCGCGUGAGUGAUGAAGGCCUUCGGGUUGUAAAGCUCUUUCGCACGCGACGAUGAUGACGGUAGCGUGAGAGAGCCCGCUACUCGUGCCAGCAGCCGC